rnacentral:rRNA from 2 species
GGUUAAGCGACUAAGCGUACACGGUGGAUGCCCUGGCAGUCAGAGGCGAUGAAGGACGUGCUAAUCUGCGAUAAGCGCCGGUAAGGUGAUAUGAACCGUUAUAACCGGCGAUUUCCGAAUGGGGAAACCCAGUGUGAUUCGUCACACUAUCAUUAACUGAAUCCAUAGGUUAAUGAGGCGAACCGGGGGAACUGAAACAUCUAAGUACCCCGAGGAAAAGAAAUCAACCGAGAUUCCCCCAGUAGCGGCGAGCGAACGGGGAGGAGCCCAGAGCCUGAAUCAGCAUGUGUGUUAGUGGAAGCGUCUGGAAAGGCGCGCGAUACAGGGUGACAGCCCCGUACACAAAAGCGCAUGUGCUGUGAGCUCGAUGAGUAGGGCGGGACACGUGGUAUCCUGUCUGAAUAUGGGGGGACCAUCCUCCAAGGCUAAAUACUCCUGACUGACCGAUAGUGAACCAGUACCGUGAGGGAAAGGCGAAAAGAACCCCGGCGAGGGGAGUGAAAAAGAACCUGAAACCGUGUACGUACAAGCAGUGGGAGCACCCUUCGGGGUGUGACUGCGUACCUUUUGUAUAAUGGGUCAGCGACUUAUAUUCUGUAGCAAGGUUAACCGUAUAGGGGAGCCGGAGGGAAACCGAGUCUUAAUUGGGCGUUAAGUUGCAGGGUAUAGACCCGAAACCCGGUGAUCUAGCCAUGGGCAGGUUGAAGGUUGGGUAACACUAACUGGAGGACCGAACCGACUAAUGUUGAAAAAUUAGCGGAUGACCUGUGGCUGGGGGUGAAAGGCCAAUCAAACCGGGAGAUAGCUGGUUCUCCCCGAAAGCUAUUUAGGUAGCGCCUCGUGAAUUCAUCUCCGGGGGUAGAGCACUGUUUCGGCUAGGGGGCCAUCCCGGCUUACCAACCCGAUGCAAACUGCGAAUACCGGAGAAUGUUAUCACGGGAGACACACGGCGGGUGCUAACGUCCGUCGUGAAGAGGGAAACAACCCAGACCGCCAGCUAAGGUCCCAAAGUCAUGGUUAAGUGGGAAACGAUGUGGGAAGGCCCAGACAGCCAGGAUGUUGGCUUAGAAGCAGCCAUCAUUUAAAGAAAGCGUAAUAGCUCACUGGUCGAGUCGGCCUGCGCGGAAGAUGUAACGGGGCUAAACCAUGCACCGAAGCUGCGGCAGCGAACGUAUCACUUAAAGCGAUUCAGCGGGUUACGAUUGACGGAGCGAAGCGACGUCAAAGCGUAUACAAAGUCGAGUCGGUUUAAGGAUACGUUCGUUGGGUAGGGGAGCGUUCUGUAAGCCUGUGAAGGUGUGUCGUGAGGCAUGCUGGAGGUAUCAGAAGUGCGAAUGCUGACAUAAGUAACGAUAAAGCGGGUGAAAAGCCCGCUCGCCGGAAGACCAAGGGUUCCUGUCCAACGUUAAUCGGGGCAGGGUGAGUCGACCCCUAAGGCGAGGCCGAAAGGCGUAGUCGAUGGGAAACGGGUUAAUAUUCCCGUACUUGGUGUUACUGCGAAGGGGGGACGGAGAAGGCUAUGUUGGCCGGGCGACGGUUGUCCCGGUUUAAGCGUGUAGGUGUGUGUUCCAGGUAAAUCCGGUUCACUUUAACACUGAGGCGUGACGACGAGGCACUACGGUGCUGAAGCAACAAAUGCCCUGCUUCCAGGAAAAGCCUCUAAGCAUCAGGUAACAUCAAAUCGUACCCCAAACCGACACAGGUGGUCAGGUAGAGAAUACCAAGGCGCUUGAGAGAACUCGGGUGAAGGAACUAGGCAAAAUGGUGCCGUAACUUCGGGAGAAGGCACGCUGACACGUAGGUGAAGUGAUUUACUCAUGGAGCUGAAGUCAGUCGAAGAUACCAGCUGGCUGCAACUGUUUAUUAAAAACACAGCACUGUGCAAACACGAAAGUGGACGUAUACGGUGUGACGCCUGCCCGGUGCCGGAAGGUUAAUUGAUGGGGUCAGCGCAAGCGAAGCUCCUGAUCGAAGCCCCGGUAAACGGCGGCCGUAACUAUAACGGUCCUAAGGUAGCGAAAUUCCUUGUCGGGUAAGUUCCGACCUGCACGAAUGGCGUAAUGAUGGCCAGGCUGUCUCCACCCGAGACUCAGUGAAAUUGAACUCGCUGUGAAGAUGCAGUGUACCCGCGGCAAGACGGAAAGACCCCGUGAACCUUUACUAUAGCUUGACACUGAACAUUGAGCCUUGAUGUGUAGGAUAGGUGGGAGGCUUUGAAGUGUGGACGCCAGUCUGCAUGGAGCCGACCUUGAAAUACCACCCUUUAAUGUUUGAUGUUCUAACGUGGACCCGUAAUCCGGGUUGCGGACAGUGUCUGGUGGGUAGUUUGACUGGGGCGGUCUCCUCCUAAAGAGUAACGGAGGAGCACGAAGGUUGGCUAAUCCUGGUCGGACAUCAGGAGGUUAGUGCAAUGGCAUAAGCCAGCUUGACUGCGAGCGUGACGGCGCGAGCAGGUGCGAAAGCAGGUCAUAGUGAUCCGGUGGUUCUGAAUGGAAGGGCCAUCGCUCAACGGAUAAAAGGUACUCCGGGGAUAACAGGCUGAUACCGCCCAAGAGUUCAUAUCGACGGCGGUGUUUGGCACCUCGAUGUCGGCUCAUCACAUCCUGGGGCUGAAGUAGGUCCCAAGGGUAUGGCUGUUCGCCAUUUAAAGUGGUACGCGAGCUGGGUUUAGAACGUCGUGAGACAGUUCGGUCCCUAUCUGCCGUGGGCGCUGGAGAACUGAGGGGGGCUGCUCCUAGUACGAGAGGACCGGAGUGGACGCAUCACUGGUGUUCGGGUUGUCAUGCCAAUGGCACUGCCCGGUAGCUAAAUGCGGAAGAGAUAAGUGCUGAAAGCAUCUAAGCACGAAACUUGCCCCGAGAUGAGUUCUCCCUGAGACUUAGAGUCUCCUGAAGGAACGUUGAAGACGACGACGUUGAUAGGCCGGGUGUGUAAGCGCAGCGAUGCGUUGAGCUAACCGGUACUAAUGAACCGUGAGGCUUAACCUU